rnacentral:rRNA from 1 species
GUGUCAGCAGCCGCGGUAAGACGUAGGGCGCGAGCGUUGUCCGGAUUUAUUGGGCGUAAAGAGCUCGUAGGCGGCUCAUUGCGUCAACCGUGAAAUCCUGCUGCUCAACGGCAGGUCUGCGGUUGAUACGGGUGGGCUGGAGUUCGGUAGGGGAGACUGGAAUUCCUGGUGUAGCGGUGAAAUGCGCAGAUAUCAGGAGGAACACCGGUGGCGAAGGCGGGUCUCUGGGCCGAUACUGACGCUGAGGAGCGAAAGCGUGGGGAGCGAACAGGAUUAGAUACCCUCGUAGUCC